rnacentral:tRNA from 1 species
GGGGUUGUGGCUCAGUGGUAGAGUGCUUGCCUAGCAUGCAUGAGUCCUGGAUUCAAUCCUCAGCACCA